rnacentral:rRNA from 1 species
UACAGAGGGGGCAAGCGUUGUUCGGAAUCACUGGGCGUAAAGGGAGCGUAGGCGGCGCGGUAAGUCAGAUGUGAAAUCCCGGGGCUCAACCCCGGAACUGCAUCCGAUACUGCCGUGCUAGAGGACUGGAGAGGCAACUGGAAUUCUCGGUGUAGCAGUGAAAUGCGUGGAUAUCGAGAGGAACACUCGUGGCGAAAGCGAGUUGCUGGACAGUAUCUGACGCUGAGGCUCGAAGGCCAGGGUAGCGAAAGGG